AAAAUAUGCAGCAUGUAAGAACAAACCGGGCUCCAAACUCUACAAGACAGGCUUCAACUUUCUUUAAUUUCUCCUUUUAGAAAUAAAAACGUCACCCGUGACUUACUGAGCGAAAACAAGCCGGGGUGGGACGCGAGGCUGUUUUAAUAACUGAAUGACAUGGGCUUUAUUAUCCCGGCUCAGAGUCUCUGUGUUCCGUUAAACAAGAGGGACCUUGGCCCAGAUCCGAGGCCCGGCUUUGGAGAGCUCGCCCAAUUACCACUCGAGGGGGGAGGUCUCCUCCGAGGCACACAUGCAGGCAAAAUGGCUACACAUGCUAACUCGCACCGUACAGGGAGGUCUGAAGGGGCACCGGCAGGUAAAGUACGGCCUGAGGGAGCUGCUGGUUCAUAGAUGCAGGUGGAGCUUCGCUGUGGUCGGGCAGACCUGGAGCAGGGUCGCAGCUCCGGCCCCUGCACGGCAACGCAACUCAGAGGCUUCAACUUCGAGCCGAAGUUUGCCGUGGAGUCCCAGCGUCCGCCUUUGCCAUUUUUCUGAUUGACGCUACGCUCGGAUCGCUCAUUUUCUCGCCACUGGAAUCGAGGUUUGUCCUCACAGGAGGAGCGACGCUUUGACAGCCGCCCACACGCACUCCUGGCUGCCAUCCCUGGCAUCCGCGACUUCCUGAUUACCAGCUGUCCCUGCUCCCCUCUGUCCGUCAGAACCCGGUAACUGAGAAAUAAACAAACAGUAAACAAGGGGCCCAGUUUAGCACCGGCCGCGUCAGCAGCUUUUGUCACCUUUUGCUGCGCGCUAACUGGCUAAUUUAGCCUUUUUCUUUCUUAAAGACAACUCAAACGACUGAAGUGCAGAUUGAAACGGAGGGAGUUUGAUUCUCAGCCUGCAGCUCUGCCAAACAUGGAGGCUAAGUGUCUGAUUCUGCCCCCCCCUUCUGUCUCUCUCUUAUUUCUCAAUCUGCAGACAUGGGAGACAAAUUCCCCCCACUUUAGACACGCCAGCCACCGAGAGGAGAACACGGGCCUAUUAAUAGGCUUCCUGCUCAUAAAAGAGAUGUGGCAGAUCAGGUUUUUUUUUGGGAGGGGGGGGGGGGGAGUUUGAUAUGUAUGUAAUACUAUAUUAGUUCAAUUGUGAUGCACCGUCGGAGGCCCCCCAUCUAUGGAAAUCCGCAUGAAAUCACUGUCUGGGCGAGGUCGUAAAUCACCGACGGCGUUGUUUAUUAUCACAGAGCGGUUUUAUGGCGGGCGGCCACUUUGCUGGGACGUCCUGGGGAGGAAUGCCCAGCAGAGGACCUGCUGGGUAAUGACCCCUUUACUUCUGCGAGGAUGAGGGGGGGUUGAUGGGAGUUCAGUGAAGAUCGUGCCUCUUACACGUACCAGGCUAUAUAUGUAAUUCAAUCAAGCACCGUGCACGUACGACUCAGAAAUGAUGUGAGGAUCUCAGUUUUCUUCCACUUUAACUUCCAUAUAUUGGAUUUAAAUAUCGGUUUAAUUGAUUUAAGGGCUUUUGGGGCAUCAGAUGAGACGCUAAGGUCAGACUCUGGGACAUUCGUGAUGUUUCUACCC
rnacentral:lncRNA from 1 species